rnacentral:rRNA from 1 species
AUUGAACGCUGGCGGCAGGCCUAACACAUGCAAGUCGAAUGGUAACAGGAAACAGCUUGCUGUUUCGCUGACGAGUGGCGGACGGGUGAGUAAUGUCUGGGAAACUGCCUGAUGGAGGGGGAUAACUACUGGAAACGGUAGCUAAUACCGCAUAACGUCGCAAGACCAAAGAGGGGGACCUUCGGGCCUCUUGCCAUCAGAUGUGCCCAGAUGGGAUUAGCUAGUAGGUGGGGUAACGGCUCACCUAGGCGACGAUCCCUAGCUGGUCUGAGAGGAUGACCAGCCACACUGGAACUGAGGCACGGUCCAGACUCCUACGGGAGGCAGCAGUGGGGAAUAUUGCACAAUGGGCGCAAGCCUGAUGCAGCCAUGCCGCGUGUAUGAAGAAGGCCUUCGGGUUGUAAAGUACUUUCAGCGGGGAGGAAGGGAGUAAAGUUAAUACCUUGGCUCAUUGACGUUACCCGCAGAAGAAGCACCGGCUAACUCCGUG